rnacentral:lncRNA from 1 species
CUUUGGAAAAUUUCUCCCCUCUCUGGGCUUCCACACCAUCCUCUAGAUAGUGAGUGGAUACUGACCUCUAGGUGACUGGGUGAUUUCUGGGUGCUUUUCUGGCUCUGACGGUCUGCCUCAGUGCCCCAGCCUCCCCUUUGGUUGCAGACACCCUACCUGUCUCCCCAGAGACAGAGCAGGUAGGACUGAAGGACACAGAUCUUCUUGUACUGCUGUGGCUCCUGCCAAGGGGAGUUCCGACCUCCAACCCCCAACCCAGCCUGCAGCUUUCUCACCACCGUGCCCCUCACAGUUGCUUCCCACCAACCUUUGGGGGCACAGCCUCCAGCCACCCUACCCUGUCUCAUACAGCAGGCACCAACCACAUUCAGCAUCCGCCUUGCUCUGCUAUGGGCCUCUGCCCCUGCUCAGUCCGCUGCCCAUACAGAACAUGUAUGGCAACCGCCAGACGCUUGUUGUUUAUGUUUGUCAAUAGAUUCCAUCUAUGAUGGAAAGUUCCGCUUCUCAGUAGAUUCUAUGACGGAAACAUGCAAGUUCCUCCCUCCUCUUGUUCCUUAGACUCUCCCAGAAAUCUGGAGCUGGACGGGCUUCUGAUGAUUAACUAUCUGACUUCCGUUUCAGACUGUCAUCUCUAUGCCGGCAGCUGCUUCCUCCAAAACGUCACUUCCAUGUCUCUUCCUGAACUUGCCCCAAGUGCCUUGUCCAUGAGGGUUCUGCGCUUUUCCUUCCUCACAAGCCACCCCCACCCAGCCUCACCAGACGUCACUUCUGCUUCCACCGUCACUGAGCCACCGCAGAUGAGACCCCCUCCCUCAUGUACCACGGAGGGAAACGGGCCAAAUCCCCCAAGAAGCAAGGCUCUCUCACUCUGAGUGCUCUUAAUUUUAAGAAAGGGGUUUUGGGUAGGGAUUUUGUCCAUUUGUUACAAACGUGACCUCAGAGAGCAAAGAGGUCAAGGGUCCCAGUAGUUUCCCAAAGAGUCAUUAUAUGUGCU